rnacentral:rRNA from 1 species
CUACGGGGUGCACCAGUGAGGAAUAUUGCACAAUGGGGGGAACCCUGAUGCAGCAACGCCGCGUGGAGGAUGACGCAUUUCGGUGUGUAAACUCCUUUUAUAUGUCAAGAAAAUGACGGUAGCAUAUGAAUAAGCACCGGCUAACUCCGUGCCAGCAGCCGCGGUAAUACGGAGGGUGCAAGCGUUACUCGGAAUCACUGGGCGUAAAGGACGCGUAGGCGGGUUGGAAAGUCAGGUGUGAAAUCCUACAGCUUAACUGUAGAACUGCACUUGAAACUUCUAAUCUAGAGUAUGGGAGGGGGAGAUGGAAUUAGUGGUGUAGGGGUAAAAUCCGUAGAUAUAAAUAGGAAUACCUAAAGCGAAGGCGAUCUCCUGGAACAUUACUGACGCUAAGGCGUGAAAGCGUGGGGAGCAAACAGGAUUAGAUACCCCCGUAGUC